CUCUGCAAAGGGCAAACCGCCGGUGACGGCGGGGCGCAAAGCAAAGGGGUCUCGGCCGGACAGAGACAGCCCAGCUGCCAGA
rnacentral:ncRNA from 1 species